rnacentral:rRNA from 1 species
GAUAAACGCUGGCGGCGUGCCUAAUACAUGCAAGUCGAGCGAACGGACGAGAAGCUUGCUUCUCUGAUGUUAGCGGCGGACGGGUGAGUAACACGUGGGUAACCUACCUAUAAGACUGGGAUAACUUCGGGAAACCGGAGCUAAUACCGGAUAAUAUUUUGAACCGCAUGGUUCAAAAGUGAAAGACGGUCUUGCUGUCACUUAUAGAUGGAUCCGCGCUGCAUUAGCUAGUUGGUAAGGUAACGGCUUACCAAGGCAACGAUGCAUAGCCGACCUGAGAGGGUGAUCGGCCACACUGGAACUGAGACACGGUCCAGACUCCUACGGGAGGCAGCAGUAGGGAAUCUUCCGCAAUGGGCGAAAGCCUGACGGAGCAACGCCGCGUGAGUGAUGAAGGUCUUCGGAUCGUAAAACUCUGUUAUUAGGGAAGAACAUAUGUGUAAGUAACUGUGCACAUCUUGACGGUACCUAAUCAGAAAGCCACGGCUAACUACGUGCCAGCAGCCGCGGUAAUACGUAGGUGGCAAGCGUUAUCCGGAAUUAUUGGGCGUAAAGCGCGCGUAGGCGGUUUUUUAAGUCUGAUGUGAAAGCCCACGGCUCAACCGUGGAGGGUCAUUGGAAACUGGAAAACUUGAGUGCAGAAGAGGAAAGUGGAAUUCCAUGUGUAGCGGUGAAAUGCGCAGAGAUAUGGAGGAACACCAGUGGCGAAGGCGACUUUCUGGUCUGUAACUGACGCUGAUGUGCGAAAGCGUGGGGAUCAAACAGGAUUAGAUACCCUGGUAGUCCACGCCGUAAACGAUGAGUGCUAAGUGUUAGGGGGUUUCCGCCCCUUAGUGCUGCAGCUAACGCAUUAAGCACUCCGCCUGGGGAGUACGACCGCAAGGUUGAAACUCAAAGGAAUUGACGGGGACCCGCACAAGCGGUGGAGCAUGUGGUUUAAUUCGAAGCAACGCGAAGAACCUUACCAAAUCUUGACAUCCUUUGACAACUCUAGAGAUAGAGCCUUCCCCUUCGGGGGACAAAGUGACAGGUGGUGCAUGGUUGUCGUCGGCUCGUGUCGUGAGAUGUUGGGUUAAGUCCCGCAACGAGCGCAACCCUUAAGCUUAGUUGCCAUCAUUAAGUUGGGCACUCUAAGUUGACUGCCGGUGACAAACCGGAGGAAGGUGGGGAUGACGUCAAAUCAUCAUGCCCCUUAUGAUUUGGGCUACACACGUGCUACAAUGGACAAUACAAAGGGCAGCGAAACCGCGAGGUCAAGCAAAUCCCAUAAAGUUGUUCUCAGUUCGGAUUGUAGUCUGCAACUCGACUACAUGAAGCUGGAAUCGCUAGUAAUCGUAGAUCAGCAUGCUACGGUGAAUACGUUCCCGGGUCU